rnacentral:rRNA from 1 species
GACGAACGCUGGCGGCGUGCUUAACACAUGCAAGUCGAACGGAAAGGCCCUGCUUUUGUGGGGUGCUCGAGUGGCGAACGGGUGAGUAACACGUGAGUAACCUGCCCUUGACUUUGGGAUAACUUUAGGAAACUGUGGCUAAUACCGGAUAGGAGCUCCUGCUGCAUGGUGGGGGUUGGAAAGUUUCGGCGGUUGGGGAUGGACUCGCGGCUUGUCAGCUUGUUGGUGGGGUAGUGGCUUACCAAGGCUUUGACGGGUAGCCGGCCUGAGAGGGUGACCGGCCACAUUGGGACUGAGAUACGGCCCAGAGUCCUACGGGAGGCAGCAGUGGGGAAUAUUGCACAAUGGGCGGAAGCCUGAUGCAGCAACGCCGCGUGCGGGAUGACGGCCUUCGGGUUGUAAACCGCUUUCGCCUGUGACGAAGCGGGAGUGACGGUAAUGGGUAAAGAAGCACCGGCUAACUACGUG